UAUGGCUGGGAGUUGGGAUGGAGACUCCGAGGGGACAGAGCAGGAGUCGUCUCGAGGAGACAUCCAGGGUGUCCUGAUCUCCUGCCUGCUGGAGCCUGUGAGGAUGACCAUGAUGACGAAGAGCUGCAGAACCUGGUCAGUGUGCUGUUGACACUACACUCUCGUACCCGAGUCCAACACCUCCCUCCAGCUCGAGCACAAGGUCAGGUUAGUCCUGUCACUCCUGUCUCGUACUCAGGACAUGAACACACAACCCUACUAGUGAGAGGAGAACUGUUAUAAAGUUACUAGUAUUGAUAUUGGAGCCUGGUGAAGUAUUGUUAUUGUUGAAUUAACACAAUCUUGAGUGACAGGUGAAAGAUGGGCUGAAGACCAUUUCUAGGAUGUCCAAAAGAAUUGACGGAGUGGAAGGGGAGUUGGAAUGGAGGUGGGAAUCUUU